UACGGGGGGGGGAAGCGUUGUUCGGAAUUACUGGGCGUAAAGGGCUCGUAGGCGGCCAACUAAGUCAUACGUGAAAUCCCUCAGCUUAACUGGGGAACUGCGUGUGAUACUGGAUGGCUUGGAUUUGGGAGAGGGAUGCGGAAUUCCAGGUGUAGCGGUGAAAUGCGUAGAUAUCGGAAGGAACAUCAGUGGCGAAAGCGACUUCCUGGACCAGUACCGACGUUCAGGCACGAAAGCGUGGGGAGCAAACAGG
rnacentral:rRNA from 1 species